AUCCUUCUGUAGUUCAUAAGCAUGAUGAUUGGAUUUUCACGAGCACGUGUGAUAUGUGCCUUCCCAAAACCUUGUUACAAUAGCAGCACAUUACCCAUCUAACA
ensembl:snoRNA